AAUCCUCUACAUCUGAUAUUUUCUGUAGAUGUGCUUGGUAUGACAAGUUCAACAUUGGCCUCUCUUAGUAAAGGGUUCGCUGAACUUUCAACAGAUGGACAGUUUCUACAAUUGCGCUCUAAGCAGGUGGGAUCAAGGAGAAUCACUGGGGUAGGUGAUGGAAUUAUUCAAGGAACAGAAGCUCUGGCACAAGGUGUUGCCUUUGGGGUAUCUGGAGUUCUGACAAAGCCAGUGGAGAGUGCUAGACAAAAUGGUCUCUUAGGACUUGCUCAUGGGCUUGGGUGUGGAUUCUUAGGAAUUAUUGUACAACCAGUCAGUGGCGCAUUAGAUUUUUUCUCUCUGACAGUUGAUGGAAUUGGUGCUAGUUGCUCCAACUGCAUAGAAGUUCUCAAUAACAAGACCACUUUCCAGAGAAUUAGAAACCCUCGGGCUAUUCGUGCUGAUUGUAUUCUGCGGGAGUAUAGUGAGAAAGAAGCUGUUGGCCAGAUGAUUCUCUGUCUUGCAGAAGCAAGUCGACAUUUUGGCUGUGCUGAAAUAUUCAAGGAGCCCUCAAAAUUUGCAUGGUCUGAUUAUUUCGAAGAAUUUUUUGUUGUGCCUUACCAAAGGAUUGUUUUAGUCAGCAACAAACGAGUCAUGCUACUGCAGUGCCCAGCUCUAGAUACGAUGGACAAGAAACCUUCAAAGAUCAUGUGGGAUGUGCCGUGGGAAGAACUCAUGGCCCUGGAACUGGCAAAAGCAGGCUGCCGCCAACCUUCUCACUUACUCCUGCAUCUCAAGAAUUUUAAAAGAUCUGAAAAUUUUGUUCGAGUCAUAAAAUGCAAUGUUGAGGAAGAAUCAGAGGGAAGUGAACCCCAAGCUGUUAGGAUUUGUUCUGUAGUGCG
rnacentral:misc_RNA from 1 species